CUCAGAUUGAACGCUGGCGGCAGGCCUAACACAUGCAAGUCGAGCGGUAGCACAGAGAGCUUGCUCUCGGGUGACGAGCGGCGGACGGGUGAGUAAUGUCUGGGAAACUGCCUGAUGGAGGGGGAUAACUACUGGAAACGGUAGCUAAUACCGCAUAACGUCGCAAGACCAAAGUGGGGGACCUUCGGGCCUCAUGCCAUCAGAUGUGCCCAGAUGGGAUUAGCUAGUAGGUGGGGUAACGGCUCACCUAGGCGACGAUCCCUAGCUGGUCUGAGAGGAUGACCAGCCACACUGGAACUGAGACACGGUCCAGACUCCUACGGGAGGCAGCAGUGGGGAAUAUUGCACAAUGGGCGCAAGCCUGAUGCAGCCAUGCCGCGUGUGUGAAGAAGGCCUUCGGGUUGUAAAGCACUUUCAGCGGGGAGGAAGGCGAUAAGGUUAAUAACCUUGUCGAUUGACGUUACCCGCAGAAGAAGCACCGGCUAACUCCGUGCCAGCAGCCGCGGUAAUACGGAGGGUGCAAGCGUUAAUCGGAAUUACUGGGCGUAAAGCGCACGCAGGCGGUCUGUCAAGUCGGAUGUGAAAUCCCCGGGCUCAACCUGGGAACUGCAUUCGAAACUGGCAGGCUAGAGUCUUGUAGAGGGGGGUAGAAUUCCAGGUGUAGCGGUGAAAUGCGUAGAGAUCUGGAGGAAUACCGGUGGCGAAGGCGGCCCCCUGGACAAAGACUGACGCUCAGGUGCGAAAGCGUGGGGAGCAAACAGGAUUAGAUACCCUGGUAGUCCACGCCGUAAACGAUGUCGAUUUGGAGGUUGUGCCCUUGAGGCGUGGCUUCCGGAGCUAACGCGUUAAAUCGACCGCCUGGGGAGUACGGCCGCAAGGUUAAAACUCAAAUGAAUUGACGGGGGCCCGCACAAGCGGUGGAGCAUGUGGUUUAAUUCGAUGCAACGCGAAGAACCUUACCUGGUCUUGACAUCCACAGAACUUUCCAGAGAUGGAUUGGUGCCUUCGGGAACUGUGAGACAGGUGCUGCAUGGCUGUCGUCAGCUCGUGUUGUGAAAUGUUGGGUUAAGUCCCGCAACGAGCGCAACCCUUAUCCUUUGUUGCCAGCGGUUCGGCCGGGAACUCAAAGGAGACUGCCAGUGAUAAACUGGAGGAAGGUGGGGAUGACGUCAAGUCAUCAUGGCCCUUACGACCAGGGCUACACACGUGCUACAAUGGCAUAUACAAAGAGAAGCGACCUCGCGAGAGCAAGCGGACCUCAUAAAGUAUGUCGUAGUCCGGAUUGGAGUCUGCAACUCGACUCCAUGAAGUCGGAAUCGCUAGUAAUCGUAGAUCAGAAUGCUACGGUGAAUACGUUCCCGGGCCUUGUACACACCGCCCGUCACACCAUGGGAGUGGGUUGCAAAAGAAGUAGGUAGCUUAACCUUCGGGAGGGCGCUUACCACUUUGUGAUUCAUGACUGGGGUGAAGUCGUAACAAGGU
rnacentral:rRNA from 1 species